rnacentral:rRNA from 1 species
CAAUAGCGUAUAUUAAAGUUGUUGCAGUUAGAACGCUCGUAGUCGGAUUUCGGGGCGUUCCGACCGGUCUGCCGAUGGGUAUGCACUGGCCGGAGUGUCCUUUUUGCCGGAGACCGUGCCUACUCUUAACUGAGCGGGGGCGGGGGACGGCACUUUUACUUUGAAAAAAUCAGAGUGUUUCAAGCAGGCAGCUCGCUCUUGCAUGGAUUAGCAUGGGAUAAUGAAAUAGGACUUUGGUGCUAUUUUGUUGGUUUCGAACACCGAAGUAAUGAUGAGAAGGGACAGUCAGGGGCACUCGUAUUCCGCAGAGAGAGGUGAAAUUCUCAGACCCGCGGAAGACGAACCACUGCGAAAGCAUUUGCCAGGGAUGUUUUCACUGA